CAGAGAUGAGCCAUUUUCCUUUGUUUAAAAACAAUGAGUAGAAUAGGGUGUAUCGAUGACCUCAUAGAUGCAGCAGUGUGAUGGGGAGAACUUUGCCUCUGGAAUCAGACUGCACCAGCCCAAGUCCUACUUCCAUUCUCUAUCAUUUGUCCCAGCUUGAGUGAGUCAGUCUUCUGUGUUUCCAGAGUUUGAUCAGGGUUAGAGGCAUUAUUCUCAACAUGUAGAAUAUUGGUGUAUGAUCCAAAGCUUUGCUGGGAGGAGGGAAGAGAGCAAAGAGCACAGGAGCCUGUGCUGGCCAUUGGGCACUGUGGUCAGGGAGGUUCCAGCAAGAUGGAAGGAAGAGCAGCCUUGGAAGACAGGGCCAUUGCUUCAGCUCAGAGCUGAGGGAGUUGGAGCAGAAAACAAACUGAAGUUCUGUGCUGAGGAGGGUCAGCAUCAGAGACUUGCUCCUGCUAGCCCGUGACUCCAAUGAGAAAUCAUCAAGCACACUUCCACACUGGUGUCUGGGAGAAAAACACACUGGAACUGACAAAACCUAGUGUAACUAAAAAUAGAAUUACAAGCUUUUAAUCUGUAUUGAAAAAGUACGUGGCAGGAAUGGCUGGAGCCUGGAAGAGGGAGAGAAGAGAGGAGCCAAUAUUUCCUGCUCAGCUGGAGCUUCUGCCUCAUUUUCAAUGAACAAUGAAAUGCUGACUACUGAGACCUCCGCUGACUACUGAGAGCUGCCUGUGGCUUUGGGGCUUAGGUGGAUUCUCAACGUUAUCUAAAGCCAAAUGAACUCUUAUACCCUGUGGCCUGUGGAGGCCGGAAGAGGACCUCUCUUCUGCAGUGUGGGAGGACUUCAAGCCUGGGGGAUUGAAGUGGAGUACAGCAGCGUUAGCCUUGGUGGCUUGCAGCUGCAGAGCAGCUAGAGCACCUUAUGCAGGCCUGGCAGCCUCUCCCUGGCUUCCAAGAAUUGAAUGUGAACAGCUGCUGUGUUCCCAGGGACAGAUUUUUAAAAGAUCUCCAAAAAUUCUAUCUUUGGUUUUUUACUGUGCUGUAGCUUGAUGUUUGCUUCAAAUUCCAGAAACAUUGACAAGGGAGAACUGCCCUUCUGUAAACUAUUAUAGCUGUAGUAAGAUACACUGAGAUUUAGAAAUAAUUUCAAAUUUGGACAGGCUUAUUGAAGUUGUCAGAAAUGGGAUCUUUAUAAAUGUUAGGAUAGACUCUGAGACUGAUAAGUAAGAUUUAAAUAAUCAAAAGCACAGACCUAUGCUUAAGAGGAAGCCAGUUGUGUGGUAUUACUAAUCCAUCAAACUUUGAAUGCUUCUCAAGCCAUAGAUAUCAUUAUGCUUACUGCAUUUAUCACAG
ensembl:lncRNA